CAAUACACUUAAUUACAAUCUGCCAAAACAACUUUUUAUUUCAGUAGAAAUAUCACAAGAUACCCCAUAAUAACAGAAUAGCAUGAUCGUAUUUGUAAGACGAUUUUUUUGUUAUUUUGUUGGUUAGACUAUUAUUGUUAAGCCACCAAACGGACAUGUGUGAUUGGUAUGAGAAACGACUUGAACUUUUUUGACGAAAAUCUCAGAUAAAAGUGACUAUUGACUUCCUCUCUACCACCUUGGUUCCUGCUGGACUUGUGUUGUAAUAUUACUAAAGCAGAUCGAGUAACAUCCUACAUUUUAUGUUUUAGUACACUCAAUUGUAGAAUAAACAAGGAAGUGAAGCUCCUCCUCUCUAUAAGCGUUCGCGCCAACGAUGUCGUCUCACAGCGAUUGAAGGUUCGGCGGCCAUGGAUGAAGUGCUGGCUGUCCACAGUCGGAACCCGGGUUGGACCGCUCGCCUGUGCAUCGGUUGGGGACAUCUCUGCGCUGCUGACCCAUCUCCGCUCGGGAUGGUCUCCUGCUGGCCCCACUAUGGACUGGACUCUUACUAUUAUGUUGGAUCCACUAUGGACUGGACUUUCACAAUAUUAUGCUAGACCCACUCCACGUCCAUUGCAUCCGGUCUCCCCUAGAGUUGGGGUCACCCACAUCUGCGGUCCUCUCCAGGGUUUCCCAUAGUCAUUCUCAUCGACGUCCAACUGGGUUGUGAGUUUUUCCUUGCCCUAAAGUGGGAUCUGAACCGAGGAUGUCGUUGUGGCUUGUGCAGCCCUUUGAGACACUUGUGAUUUAGGGCUAUCUAAAUAAACAUUGAUUUUUUGAUUGA